rnacentral:misc_RNA from 1 species
ACUGACACGCUGUCCUUUCCCUAUUAACACUAAAGGACAUAGAAGAGACCCUUUCGAUUUAAGGCUGUUUUGUUGUCCAGCCUAUUUUUUACUGGCGGGUCUGUCCGGGCCUGAAGCUGUCCCGAGCACGUUCUGUUUCCCGGCUGUGCCGUGGUUGUGGGCAGGUGACAACUGGGGUGUGACUUUGGUGUCAGACUUUUUUCCCGAUUUCCCGAGGUGUGUUGUCACACCUGUCCCGGUUGGAAUGGUGGAGCCAGCUGUGGUUGAGGGCCGCCUUAUUUCGGCUCACUUUUUUUUUUUUUCUCUUGGAGUCCCGAACCUCCGCUCUUUUCUCUUCCCGGUCUUUCUUCCACAUGCCUCCCGAGUGCAUUUCUUUUUGUUUUUUUUCUUUUUUUUUUGGGGGGGGAGGUGGAGAGUCCCGAGUACUUCACUCCUGUCUGCGGUGUCCAAGUGUUCAUGCCACGUGCCUCCCGAGUGCACUUUUUUUUGUGGCAGUCGCUCGUUGUGUUCUCUUGUUCUGUGUCUGCCCGUAUCAGUAACUGUCUUGCCCCGCGUGUAAGACAUUCCUAUCUCGCUUGUUUCUCCCGAUUGCGCGUCGUUGCUCACUCUUAGAUCGAUGUGGUGCUCCGGAGUUCUCUUCGGGCCAGGGCCUAAGCCGCGCCAGGCGAGGGACGGACAUUCAUGGCGAAUGGCGGCCGCUCUUCUCGUUCUGCCAGCGGGCCCCUCGUCUCUCCACCCCAUCCGUCUGCCGGUGGUGUGUGGAAGGCAGGGGUGCGGCUCUCCGGCCCGAGCGCUGCCCCGCGCGCACUUUUCUCAGUGGUUCGCGUGGUCCUUGUGGAUGUGUGAGGCGCCCGGUUGUGCCCUCACGUGUUUCACUUUGGUCGUGUCUCGCUUGACCAUGUUCCCAGAGUCGGUGGAUGUGGCCGGUGGCGUGCAUACCCCUUCCCGUCUGGUGUGUGCACGCGCUGUUUCUUGUAAGCCUCGAGGUGCUCCUGGAGCGUUCCAGGUUUGUCUCCUAGGUGCCUGCUUCUGAGCUGGUGGUGGCGCUUCCCAUUCCCUGGUGUGCCUCCGGUGCUCCGUCUGGCUGUGUGCCUUCCCGUUUGUGUCUGAGAAGCCUGUGAGAGGGGGGUCGAGGAGAGGAGGGGCAAGAGCCCCCUUCUUCGUCGGGUGAGCGCCCACCCCGCGCACUAGUACGCCUGUGCGUAGGGCUGGUGCUGAGCGGUCGCGGCUGGCCUUGGAAAGUUUCUCGAGACUCAUUGCUUUCCCGUGGGGAGCUUUGAGAGGCCUGGCUUUCGGGGGGGACCGGUUGCAGGGUCUCCCCUGUCCGCGGAUGCUCAGAAUGCCCUUGGAAGGGAACCUUCCUGUUGCCGCAGACCCCCCCGCGCGGUCCCCCGCGUGUUGGUCUUCUGGUUUCCCUGUGUGCUCGUCGCAUGCAUCCUCUCUCGGUGGCCGGGGCUCGUCGGGGUUUUGGGUCCGUCCCGCCCUCAGUGAGAAAGUUUCCUUCUCUAGCUAUCUUCCGGAAAGGGUGCGGGCUUCUUACGGUCUCGAGGGGUCUCUCCCGAAUGGUCCCCUCGAGGGCUCGCCCCCUGACCGCCUCCCGCGCGCGCAGCGUUUGCUCUCUCGUCUACCGCGGCCCGCGCCUCCCCGCUCCGAGUUCGGGGAGGGAUCACGCGGGGCAGAGCCUGUCUGUCGUCCUGCCGUUGCUGCGGAGCCAUGUGGCUCCGGUUGUGUGGUGGUGGCUGGGGAGAGGGCUCCGUGCACACCCCCGCGUGCGCGGUACUUUCCUCCCCUCGUGAGGGCCGCCGUGCGGGACGGGGUGUGGGUAGGCGACGGUGGGCUCCCGGGUCCCCACCCGUCUUCCCGUGCCUCACCCGUGCCUUCCGUCGCGUGCGUCCCUCUCGCUCGCGUCCACGACUUUGGCCGCUCCCGCGACGCGGGCCUGCGCCGCGCGUGGUGCGUGCUGUGUGCUUCUCGGGCUGUGUGGUUGUGUCGCCUCGCCC